rnacentral:rRNA from 1 species
AAUGGGCGAAAGCCUGAUCCAGCCACGCCGCGUGUGUGAUGAAGGCCCUCGGGUCGUAAAGCACUGUCAUGGGGGACGAAGUACUGACGGUACCCCAUAAGAAAGCACCGGCUAACUCCGUGCCAGCAGCCGCGGUAAUACGGAGGGUGCAAGCGUUGCUCGGAAUUACUGGGCGUAAAGCGACCGCAGGCGGUUUGUCAGGUCGGAUGUGAAAGCCCGGGGCUCAACCCCGGAACUGCAUUCGAAACCGGCAGACUUGAAUACGGGAGAGGAGGGCGGAAUUCCUGGUGUAGAGGUGAAAUUCGUAGAUAUCAGGAGGAACGUUCGUGGCGAAGGCGGCUCUCUGGCCCGAUAUCGACGCUCAUGGUCGAAAGCGUGGGGAGCGAACAGGAUU